GAGACCUGUUGUCUGUAACCAGUAACUAGUCUAGGGAGAGACCUGUUGUCUGUAACCAGUAACUGGUCUAGGGAGAGACCUGUUGUCUUUAGUUAAAUUUAUUUAAAUGAAUGUAAUACACAUUAUUAUAUCCUUCUGGCUAAAUCCCAAAUGGCACCCUAAAUGACCAGUUCAAAAGUAGUGCACUUUAUAGGGAACAGGGUGUCAUUUGGGCCAAAUAUAGGAUAAUUUGACUGUAGCCUUCUGCGUUCAGCAGAGACCACUUUUUCCUUGUUGGCACUUUAUCUGUUGGUUAGUAGGUGUUAUUAUAUUAUUGAACCUCUUGAGCCAUACGCUAUUGGGUUAGUCAGACUGAUCAGCAAGUCUCAAUAAGGUGUUGGGUUAGUCAGGCUGAUCAACAAGUCUCAAUAAGGUGUUGGGUUAGUCAGGCUGAUCAACAAGUCUCAAUAAGGUGUUGGCAUCAACAAGUCUCAAUAAGGUGUUGGGUUAGUCAGGCUGAUCAACAAGUCUCAAUAAGGUGUUGGGUUAGUCAGGCUGAUCAACAAGUCUCAAUAAGGUGUUGGCAUCUACAAGUCUCAAUAAGGUGUUGGGUUAGUCAGGCUGAUCAGCAAGUCUCAAGUCUCAAACACCUUAGUAAUAUAUUCUGUCCAUGGACUCAUGCUACUCAUAUUCACUGGGGUUGUGUGUCCCAAAUGGC
ensembl:lncRNA